CUCCUUCCCUCUAGGAUUUCUCUCUACUCCAUCUUUUUUUUCUCUAUUUGAUCUGUGGACCCCAAUAUGAACCCGAGAUGAUGUUUUCUAAUAAACUUAAAUUUGCUUUGAUAUAUGUGCUAUAUGUCAACCUCACCCACUCAUGUCGAGUAUUUUUGAAUCCAUUAUUGAUAAAUUCUGUUGAUCGAUCUUGACUUGAUCUAAUUUAUACUUCAUGAUUCUUUGAUUGAGUCACUUAGGUCUAACCCUCGGUUUGGAGAUCCUGAAUUAUCUCGAUAUCUGGACAGCCUGUUGGAUCGACCAUCCGAUCAAUGAUUUUUUUUUUUAUAAUUUAAUUCUAUUGAAUUCAUCAAAUAGAAAUUGAUUAUGUUUUUGAUAUUUUAAAUACAAUUAUCUGAUUCUUUUAAUGAAGUCUAA
rnacentral:lncRNA from 1 species